UACGAAGGGUGCAAACGUUGCUCGGAAUUAUUGGGCGUAAAGCGCACGUAGGCGGCAUUGCAAGUCGGAUGUGAAAUCUUAUGGCUUAACCAUAAAAGUGCAUCCGAAACUGCAGUGCUUGAGUACUUAAGAGGAUCGCGGAAUUCCCGGUGUAGAGGUGAAAUUCGUAGAUAUCGUAAGGAAGACCAGUGGCGAAGGCGGGUCUCUGGACAGUUCCUGACGCUGAGGCACGAAGGUCAGGGGAGCAAACGGG
rnacentral:rRNA from 1 species